rnacentral:rRNA from 1 species
UACGAAGGGUGCAAGCGUUAAUCGGAAUUACUGGGCGUAAAGCGUGCGUAGGCGGUGAGUUAAGUCUGUUGUGAAAUCCCCGGGCUCAACCUGGGAAUGGCAAUGGAUACUGGCUCGCUAGAGUGUGAUAGAGGAUGGUGGAAUUCCCGGUGUAGCGGUGAAAUGCGUAGAGAUCGGGAGGAACAUCAGUGGCGAAGGCGGCCAUCUGGAUCAGCACUGACGCUGAGACACGAAAGCGUGGGGAGCAAACAGG